GCUUCGUUAGCUCAGUCAGGUCCAGAGCGCCGGCCCGUCAAGCCGGAAAGCACGGGUUCGAAUCCCGUACGAAGCGCCA
rnacentral:tRNA from 1 species